AUGGGUUCGGUCCUCCUUUUCCUGAUCUUUGUUUGUCCCCCCAAAAAAGGCGUGAGAGGACGUUGCAGAUGUCCGGGAUGGACACGACUUCUUCUAACGCUAGAAGACCACAGGAAGAAACCCGGGACCAGAGCAUGUCGUGAAAGACGCACACGGGGCGGGCGUGUUUCGACUGUGUCUCCGGGGCACAGUUGA
rnacentral:rRNA from 1 species